GCCGUGUGCGCGCGUUUUGUGGCUGCUCUUUGCUGCUGGACGUGAAAUGCGUGGUUUGACGACAGUGCAAUAUGCCUUACUGCGGGUCUUACUGCGGGUGGGAUAUGGUGUGACACUGUCCCGGCGACUCAAGCAAGCGUGCCGCUGUAUUACCAAGCAGAUGAUGGGCACGCUGCGUUCGGGGUACCAUCGGGAACACAAUGGAAAACGUUUCUGGCAAAGCAGCAAGAGUUGCUCGUCCACUGCUUGUGUACAAGACACUGUAUUGUGGGAACACUCCACUGUGCCUCACUUUUUCAGAUAUCUGUGAGCAAAUAUGUGCAUCAGUAUAUGAAGGCUGCAUUGUCAUUUUGUGGGCAUUGCUGAAUGCUUUUAUAAAUUGUGGUGAGUGGAUCUACAAUCAAUUUUAGACUUUUCUGCAGGAAACUGAACUGUAUGAUCAUGUGCUAUAUGUUUUGAUGCCAUAGUGCAAACUAAUGCAAUAAAAAUACUAGAACAUGCCUAUCUGCAUGGUUGCAUAUGUCUCAAAAAUAAAGCUAACCUUAUUGUACUAAUUUUGUUGCCUUCAUGUGUAGGUUGACACCAAGUUCCUUGUGCAUCCCAUUUCUUUGGAUUGUGCUUAGAUACUGGCACUGUGAAGUGCACAUGCCAUUAUGCAUUAUGAGGAGGUUUUACACACUACUUUCAUGUUGCUUUACUGCUGUGAAUUAUAUAUAGUGCUUGGGCUAUACUGUAUAUGUUGUUCCAUGUCUUCACUAUUGCGUGCAGGUUCUCUGCACGAAAAUGGAAAUAUACAUAUGCUUACACUGACAUGAGGACUGCUUUUGUUUUGAUUCCAAUAAAAUAGUGAAAACACCCUU